UACGUAGGGGGCAAGCGUUGUCCGGAAUCAUUGGGCGUAAAGCGCGUGUAGGCGGCUCGGUAAGUCCGCUCUGAAAGUCCAGGGCUCAACCCUGGGAUGCGGGUGGAUACUGCCGAGCUUGAGUCCGGAAGAGGCGAGUGGAAUUCCUGGUGUAGCGGUGAAAUGCGCAGAGUAAUCAGGAGGAACACCGAUGGCGAAGGCAGGUCCUCUGGGC
rnacentral:rRNA from 1 species